AUAUAUAUAUAUACACAUAUAUGGUGUGUGUGUGUGUGUGUGUGUGUGUGUGUGUGUGUGUGUGUGUGUGUAUAUAUAACAUCAUUCAACUUUCUUUGCUCUUUAUAUUAAACAUAUAUUCUUUAAGUAAUACUUAUAUCAUACAUUAAUACAUAUAUAUAAUUUUAUAUCUUGCGUAAUCUUCUGUUUUUGAAAUUUUCUAAUUGUAAUUAAGUUAUUUUCAUUCCUAUUAAAUUUAGAUUAAUUUAGAUUAAAGAAAAUGGAAAAAGAAAAAACAAGUAAGAGAGAUGUUCAGAUAGAAUACUAUAAACAACUUACUUAUUUUGCGCUUACGCAUUUUGUUUUGACCAACAUCAAUAUUAAAAGUGCCGACAGAAAGUUGCGCUACUGUAAAUACUGUGCCUUUACGUUGCAUAAGGCUACCAUAGGAACCUCUGGAGACAAUGACGCUUCCAUGAUUGUUUCCGUCAAAUGCAAUUACCAAAGGUCAACCUUCCUACAGUCAACGGGGACCAGUUAGGGAGAGGUUCCGAGACUAUUUUAAAUCUCUAGGUCACAAUGCUGAGAGUCUUGCGUCCAGAAGCUACAAUGCCUCAAGUUAUGCCUGAUACGCGGGCUACUGCCGUUAUUUUUAACAUAGGUUAGUGUACUGAAAGCUAUUGGCAUGGAAUUAGCUUGUUACUCGAUACGAUAAUAAUCAGGUUCUGCUAUCGACUCACAUGCGAGCUGAACUGCGCACCAAUUUCAAAGGUCUCUGCGCAAGAGAUAAAUCGUGUGAUUAGUACCGUUAAUCAGGCGGUUCGUUCUUUUCAGACGUUGGGACUCCCGGUAGCUCAUUGGGGUGACUGGUUCGUCCACAUUUUGGUAGAAAAAUUGGACUCAGUGACGAGACUGCUUUGGAAGUCAAAGCGACAGGCGACACAAGAGUUUCCUUCGUUCGCGGACUUUAAAAAAUUUUUAGUUAAACGCGCCGCCGCUCUGAACUCCACCUCUCCACACGCAUCAUCAAUGGCAAUCUUAACAAAGAGUAAAGCAAACCGACGAAAGCAUGAGGUCUCUUUCAUAUGCUACCAAUGCCAGUGAGUGUCGUAAAUUGGUGAAGAAGUCAAAUGUGUGCUUCAACUGCCUGGGAUAUGGAUAUUCCAUCACAACUUCCCUUCAACGAACAGAUGUCGCUUCUGUUGCGACAAACACCUUGCUCCACCUUGGUGGACCUGAAUCUGUAUCCGAGGGCCAACCAAUUCAGGAAAUAAAACUGUUAGCUUUUAUAAUUGAGAAUUAGUAGACUUAUUCGUUUCAUCAAAUUUAUUCUAAUAGCAACGUUUUACAAUAGCUUGUUAUCACAGCAAGAGCAAUUUGUAUAAUGAAAGAUAAUAAAGUUUGACAAUAGGAAUACGCAUGCAAAAGAAAGAAUUCGUUAGAUAGAAAAUUAAUAGCAACCUAAUAUAAUUAAUUUACUUUUUAAUUACUAUGCGUUCAUAACAAAUCUUUCCGCCUCACAUGCAAUCUAUAACGAUUAUUACUUGUUAUUACUUGUAAUAACAAGUAAUGAAUUAUUACUUGUUAUUACUUGUAAUAACAAGUACUAGAUUUCAAGCAUGCAACUAUUCUACAUUCCCCCACUUUGAAAUUAAGGUUGCAAGGAUUACACUUUAUUUUAAUGCUUUAUUACACAAUGCUUUCCCAUGCUUUUAUUGCAGAAAUUAUAUUUUUAUUGCGCGUUGCAGCCUUUGUAAGUGCAUCUGCUAACAUAGAAUCAAACAGUACAUGUUCUAGCUUUAUUAUUUUUCUUUUAAUCAUUUCUUUAACAAAUGUAUACUUUGUAUCUAUGUUUUGUUCUUGCAUGAAAAUUACUUGAAUAUAGCAGUUUAAUCGCUCUUUGUUUAUCAGAAUAAAAUUUAAUUGAUUCAUUAACGCUUUUAAAAUUAUUUUCUUUUAUUAGCAUUUUUAACCAAACUAAUUCUUGACUAGCUAGAAUAAUUGCUAUUCUGACUUGGUAGUGGACAAAGAAACAGACUGUUGUCUCUUUAAACACCAAAAAAUUGCAUUGUUACCCAAAAAGAAAAUAUAACCACUCGUCGAACGUCUUGUUUUUUGUCUCCUGUCUAAUUUGCAUCACAAAAACCGCGUAAUAAAGUUAAACUGUAAUUCUAGAUUGAAAGUUUCCUUUAAAUAACGUAAAACCCGCUUUAUCGCAAACCAAUGAGCAUCACUGAGAUCUUCAACAAAAAAUUCUAGAGUUGUAAUUGUGCUUUUUAAAUCUGGACGUGUAGCUUGAUAAAGGUAAAUUAGGCUUCUUAUUGCUUCUCUAUAUGGAAUAUUUCUCAUUUGCUUCCUCUCAGAAAAAUUUUUGGGUAACAUUUCUUUCGUAAAUUCUUGAUUAAUAUUCGGAGUUGUCUUUGCUGUAUUGCAGUUCUCCAUAUUAAAACGUCGCAAUAUCUUUUCCAUGUAACCUUUUUGGUAUAAAUAAAUUCUUCUUUUCUCUUUAUCACGACAAACAUUUAUUCCUAGUACUCUUGAAACUGCUCCCAAGUUUCGCAUCUUGAAUUUUUCUUUUAAUUUUUUAAUAAUUUGCUUUUGGAGUUUAUUAUCUUUGGUAAACAGUAAUAGAUAGACAGACGUCAACAUAGACAGCCAGAUAUGUUAGAUUAUUAUUAUCUUUUUUUAUAUAAAGACUCUGAUUAACAUCUAAACGUUCAAAUUUCAAUUCUUUAUCCAGUUUUUUAUUCCAUGAGUUAGCUUCUUGCUUUAAACUGCAUAAUGCCUUUUUGAGUUUACAGACUUUUUCUUCUUUUCCUGUUUGAAUGAAAUCUUCUAAAUGUUGCAUGUACAUUUCUUCCUCUAGUUCUCCAUUUAAAAAAGCUGUUAUGAUGUCCAAAUGUUCUAUGUCGUAAUCAUAUUUAGCUGCCACUCUAAAUAAACAUCAUAGUAUUAGGGUCAGUUAAAUGAAAACAAAACAGACUGUAUAACGAGCGAAUGUUGAUAACCUUUUUUGUGUGUUUAUGGAUGUGAUCUCUAUUGGGAAUUAAGGGAGAACGGCGCGAAUGUUCAACGCUGUGUCAUUUGUUUGUUAGACAUGCUCAAAGUGAGGUUAGCGUGUUGUGUGUACAUCCGACAUUAAUAUGGAGGUUGGGAAAGGGAAACAGCGAGGUGUAGUGCGGUUUUUCAUUGCAGAAGGGGUGUCAGGAAGUGCAAUUUAUGCCCAAAUGUCUGCUGUGUAUGGCGAACACAGUAUGUCAUAUGCGCGUGUGUUUGCGUGAAAUAAACAAUUUUCUCGAAUUUGUAUAUUCCACGCAAAUAUACGCGCACAUGACACAGCAUACAUUUGGGCAUGAAUUACACUUCCUGACACCCCUUUCGCAGUCAAAAACCGCACUAUACCUCGCUGUUCUUCUUUCCCGACCUUUAUAGUAAUGUCGGACGCACACAAGACGCGCUGACCUUACUUCGAGCACGUCUAACAAACAAAUAACACAGCGGUGAACAUUCGCGCCGUUCUCCCCUAAUUCCCAAUAAAGGUUACGUCCAUAAACACACAAAAAAAGGUUACCAACGUCUACGCCAUGUUUGUUAUACAGUCUGUCUCGUUUUCAUUUGACUAACCCUAAUAGUCUAACAACCGGACAAAAUACAUCAUUGUAAUCUAAAUCUGCUUCUUGUUCAUAGCCUUUUACAACUAGUUUUGCUCGAUAUCUUUCUAUCUUACCUUCAGAAUCUUGUUUUAUUUUGAAAACCUAUUUUGUUUUGAGAAUUUUUUUAUUCUUCGGCGGAGUACAUAAUGUUCAAGUUUCAUUUCGCAAUAGAGCGUUGUAUUCUUUUCUCAUUGCAUUAUUCCAAUUAUUGUCUUCCAGAUCUUCCUAUAUAUUAACUGGUUCUGCUGAUUCUGAUAUUGACACGAUAAAUGUAAUAUGGUUCAACAAUCCUUUUGGUUUUCUUACUUGUCCACUUCGCUAAAUUUGUACAAACUCUGCAUUUUCUAAAUUUCUUUCCAUGGUUUCAUUGAGUACACGAUCAUCGUCAGUUGUUCCAUCAAUUUCUUCAUUUUGUUAUUUUCUGUAUUAGCAUCAAAAUUAUCGAUAACAUCUAUACUAUUAUUUUGUUGUUCUCUGUUUUUAAUUGGAUGUACCCCUACUGAAACUGGAUCUUCCUUUGUUUCAAAAUUGUUGCAGACUGGCAGUAUAAUCUUUUCUUUUUCUUCUUAAAUUUUUUCUUUUUGGAUUUUCUUUUUUUCUUUUUGUUAUUUUCAGGAAUCUUCUCUGUUUCUUUAUCUUCUAUCUUUUCUUUUGUACUUGUACUUUUUCUUCAUAAAAGAUAACAACUCUUCUUUUAAAUACUCUUCUUUUCUUCUCAUUCCACAAAUGAUAAUCUUUUGUACGUUGUAGGUAUCCUAAAAAUAAACAGAGGUUCGAUUUCUCAUCCCAUUUCCUUCGGUAUGUGUACUAAUGCUUUGUAUCAAAAAAUCUUCAAAUGUCCUAGGCUUGGAUUUUUUCCUGUCCACAAUUCGUAUGAAGUUCAAUUACGUAAAAUUGUUGACGAUAAUCUAUUUAAUAAAUAAACAGCUGUUAAAGAAGCUUUAGCCCAAAAAUCUUUUAGUUGAUUCGCGUCUAUAAGUAAACAAUGCUUUUUUUCUACAAGAGACCUAUUACUCUUUUCCGCUAGACCGUUCUGUUGCGGUGUAUAUGCGGUAUUGUUAAUUGAUGUUGGAUUUCUUCCUUUCAUAGAAAAGACACGAAUUCUUGAUUCAUAAACUCCCGUCCAUUAUCUGGCCUCAACGCUAAAAUCUGUUUAUCUCUCUUCUUCUUGACGUAUUUUUUAAAUGUCUUAAAAGAAUUUAAUGCUUCAGAUUUACUAUUUAAAAAAUAGAUAUUCAAAUAUAUUAAAUAAUCAUCAAUAGAAAGGAUAAAAUAUUUAGUCCCACCUAUUAAAUUAAUUAUCAUUGAAUCACAAACGUUUGUGUGUACAAUUUCCAAUAUUUUGACGCUUUAGUUUCAUCUGUGUAAAGUUAGUACUCCAGUUUUGGAAAAUCUAAAAUUUUUUUUGCAAACGUUUGCCCAUCGUUUGCCCAUAAAUGCCCCGUUGAAAUUUUUGUUUGACCCACUCUCUUUGUCUGACCCACUCUAGUUCAAAAGUUACAGACAAAUCAAAUUUGGAGGUGCCAACUUUACACUAGCAUCCCAAUUUUGAAAAAUCCAAUAAUAUCUUUUUUGCAAACGUUUACCCAUCAUUUGCCCAUAAAAGUCCCGUUAAAAUUUUUGUUUGCUCUUCUCUAGUUCAAAAAUUACAGGCAAAUCAAAUUUGGGAGUUCCAACUUUACACUAGCACCUUAAUUUUGAAAAAUUCAAUAAUUUGUUUUUGCAAACGUUUGCCCAUCGUUUGCCUAUGAAUGCCUCGUUGGAAUUUUCGUUUGCCCCCCUCCAGUUCAAAAGUUACAGGAAAAUUAAUUUUGAGAGUGAGAAAUUUACUGACAUCACAAUCGAAAAUAUAUGUUGUAAAAGUAAAUUUCGUUUCUUGUUCAGAUUUUUUAAAAAUGUUUUAAAGGUCAAUGUAGUCGUUUAAACACGAAAAUCGAUGUAACAUAUUUUAAUUUUUUUAAAUCACAUUGAGGCAUAUCCUGUUGAAUUGAUUGAGAUAUUGUUGCCAGGAAUAUAUAUACAUAUAUAUAUAUAUAUAUAUAUAUAUAUAUAUAUAUAUAUAUAUA